UACGUAGGGUGCAAGCGUUAAUCGGAAUUACUGGGCGUAAAGCGUGCGCAGGCGGUUUUGUAAGUCUGUCGUGAAAUCCCCGGGCUCAACCUGGGAACUGCAUUUGUGACUGCAUCGCUGGAGUGCGGCAGAGGGGGAUGGAAUUCCGCGUGUAGCAGUGAAAUGCGUAGAUAUGCGGAGGAACACCGAUGGCGAAGGCAAUCCCCUGGGCCUGCACUGACGCUCAUGCACGAAAGCGUGGGGAGCGAACAGG
rnacentral:rRNA from 1 species